UUAUUUUCAACCACACUUCCUCUCUCGUUCUCUCUAUCUCUCUCUCUUGCUCUAAAUAGUUAGUGCCGAUGAGUAUUAGAACCAACUCAUUCUCUCCAACAUUCAUACCUAAGAUUAACCCCAAGCAGGUAGAUUUGGAGACCACUCGGUUUAGAGAUUUGAAGAGAAAAUUGAAAAAGGUGAUAAGUGGAGUCAGUGAUGAGCUUGUAUGAUCCUAAUUGACCACAUCCAACAGCUUGGCAUCGCCUACCACUUUGAAAUAGAAAUUGAAGCGGCUCUUGGUGGCAUUUACAGAGGUUUUUCUGCAAAUGGUUCUGAUCACAAUCUCUUAGUUGCUUCUCUAAAAUCUCGAUUCCUUAGACAAUAUGGAUAUAAUGUGUCAUCGAAUGUAUUUAACAAAUUCAAGGAUGGCAAUGAGAAUUUCAAACCCAGUUUGAGCGAAGAUGUUAUUGGUAUGUUGAACCUCUAUGAAGCUUCACACCUUCGAAUUCAAGGGGAAGAUAUCAUGGAUGAAGCACUAGGAUUCUGUGUCAAGCAUCUCAGCACAGCAUCUCGUAGAACCUAAUAUCACGAAAAUAGUGAGGCACGCCCUCAAGCUUCCAUUACACUUCUGAACCCCAAGGUUAGAGACCAGGCAUUACAUUGAGGUUUACAAAUAAGAUCCUCAGAGGGACCAAGAGUUAUUGGAGUUUGCCCAAAGAGACUUCAAUAUGGUGCAAGCCAUGUAUAAGGGAGAGCUGAAAGAGGUCUCAUUUAAGUGUCCUCACAAAAUUCUUCUCUCUUGUGAUAUUAAGGACAUUUUCUCAGUAGUGUCUUAUCUUUCUUUAGGUGGUGGCGGGAGUUGGAUAUGGAAAAGGAGCUUGCAUUUGCUAGAGAUCAAAUACACCACUGGUUUAUGUGGCCUGUUGCAAUCGUCCCUGAGCCUCAGUAUUCAGAGUGCAGAGUUGAUAUAACCAAAGCCAUUUCCUUCAUCUACCUGAUAGACGAUAUCUACGAGAUGUACGGAUCCAUGGAUGAACUAGAACUCUUUACCCAAGCAAUUACAAGUGGACCUCAUUAUGCGAAGCCUUUUUAGUUGAAGCAAAAUGGUACCGAUCUGGGCAAGUGCCAAGAGCAAAGAAGUACUUGAAAAAUGCAGUGACGAGUACAGGUGUGCAUGCUGUCUUGAUUCACAUGUAUUUCCUGAUGGGACACAAAGUAACAAGCGAGACUGCUCAACUCAUAAGCAAUGACCCUCAAUUCAUUCGCUGCUCAGCAACCAUUUUUCGGCUUUGGGAUGACUUGUCUACUUCAAUGGAGGAAAGAGAGAGAGGGGAUGAUUCCUCUUACAUAGAAUCAUACAUGAAGGAACAUGAAGAUGAAUCAGAAGAGAGUGCUCGAGAACACACUACAAAUCUCAUUAUAAUAAUGUGGAAGAGACUAAUCCAUGAGAGUCUCAAGCCAAGCCCCUUUCCACAUUCCUUCACCAUUUCAGUGUUGAACAUCUCUAGAAUGGCCCAAAUCGUGUGCCAAAAUCAAGAGGAUUCCACCGUGAAGGAUCAUAUGAAGUCAUUGCUCCUGGAUCCCAUUUCCCUCUCUCUUGACGGAUCGGCGACCCCUCCAAAUAUGCCUUCAACUUUAUAAAACUAAAUGAAAACUUUCUUCUUCUUCUUUUUUUUUAUUUUUUAUUUCUUUUUAUUUUUUUUUAUUUUUUUAUUUUUUUAAGGGUUGUAAUGGAGCGUGAGACGUUAUAUUGGGGUAUCCACCAUCUUAAGCAUCAAUGCCCUAACCCCAUUUUCUCGUAAAUUAAAAAUUACUUUGUCAUAAUUA